UCUUUUUCUUCUUUGUGCGGCAGCCAAAGCUAUUACCGUGUUGCUUGUCUGUUCUAUUAAUCCUAACGAGUUGGCGAGCGUCAAGCUAUUGGCGAGAGUAAAAUUUACACAACCGGUCAUCUUAGUGCCCUUUCAUUUAAGACUGUUUUUCAAAGUUUUCAGUGAGGGCCGGAAGACCAUACAUUU
rnacentral:snoRNA from 1 species